GGUAGGAUGGCUGAGAAUUAGGUAAUAGACUGUAAAUCUAUCUAGGAGGAUAUCCCUCUCUUACCA
rnacentral:tRNA from 1 species